AGUCACUGACAUUAGAUACCCCGGUAGUCCCAGCCCUAAACGAUGCGCGUUAGGUGUAUCGGUGACCACGAGUCACCGAGGUGCCGAAGGGAAACCGUGAAACGUGCCGCCUGGGAAGUACGGUCGCAAGGCUGAAACUUAAAGGAAUUGGCGGGGAGCACAACAACGGGUGGAGCUUGCGGUUUAAUUGGAUUCAACGCCGGAAAUCUUACCGGGACCGACAGCAACAUGAAGGCCAAGCUGAAGACUUUGCCGGAUUAGCUG
rnacentral:rRNA from 1 species